CGACUCUCGGCAACGGAUAUCUCGGCUCACGCAUCGAUGAAGAACGUAGCAAAAUGCGAUACUUGGUGUGAAUUGCAGAAUCCCGUGAACCAUCGAGUUUUUGAACGCAAGUUGCGCCCGAAGCCUUUUGGCCGAGGGCACGUCUGCUUGGGCGUCACGCA
rnacentral:rRNA from 1 species